rnacentral:rRNA from 1 species
UACGUAGGGUGCGAGCGUUGCCCGGAUUUAUUGGGCGUAAAGGGCGCGUAGGCGGUUAGUCACGUCGGAUGUGAAAACCCGGAGCUUAACUCCGGGCCUGCAUUCGAUACGGGCUGACUAGAGUGUUGUAGGGGAGACUGGAACUCCUGGUGUAGCGGUGAAAUGCGCAGAUAUCAGGAAGAACACCGGUGGCGAAGGCGGGUCUCUGGGCAACUACUGACGCUGAGGAGCGAAAGCGUGGGGAGCAAACAGG